GUCAGGGUGGCCGAGUGGUUAUGGCGUUGGUCUUAAGAACCAAUCACGCAAGUGAUCAUGGGUUCGAUUCCCAUUCCUGACA
rnacentral:tRNA from 1 species